ensembl:misc_RNA 7SK 7SK RNA
GGAUGUGAGGGCGAUCUGGCUAUGACAUCUGUCACCCCCUUAAUCUAGCUGAUCUGGCUACCUAGACAGGUGUCCCCUUCCUCCCUCACCACUCCACAUGCAUCCCUCCUGAAGUUGUGUGCUUGGUCAAAGAGGACAACCAUCUCCGAUAAAGGAGGACCGUUCUUCAGUCAAGGGUAUAUGAGUAGCUGCUCUCCCCUCCUAGAACUACUCGAGGUCUAGUUGUAGGAGAAUGUAGGGUACAAGCUUCCAAAACUCUAGACACAUCCAAAUGAGGUGUUGGCAUGUGGCAGUCUGCCUUUCAAU